GACCACGAAGCCACGCCGGCGAACCGGUA
rnacentral:sRNA from 1 species